ensembl:lncRNA
CCAAAUAACGCUUGUAACAUCCACAGCUCGACAUAAACGACUUCUAGGGUGUGAUCGGCGCCUCUAACCCCUCUCAGCCUUUGGGCUCUACGAAGCGCCAGGAGCCGGAGGGACGCGGGGAGGAACAUGGGGCAGGGCGGUCCGGAGCGACCGCGGCCUCUUAGGCUGCCCAGCCCCGCCCCUUCCGCGCUCUCGGACCCGCGUCCCGGGCCUCCAGUGCCCAGCAUCCCGCAUCUCGCAUGCAGCAUCCAUCCUCCGGCGCCGCUCCGUGUGGUCUGCCAGGCGAAGCAGAAGCUCAGGCGCAGGGAUGGUCGCUGGCUAAGGGCCCCUGAAAACAGCCCUAGGCCCUCCAGGCUCAAGUGUGCCACCCCAAGCGUGCCACGGGGUGGCGGGUGGGGAGUGGGGGCGAGCUCCCUGGGUGACAGGCAUAGGGAAUCUGGAAAUCAGGCCACGGGAUGAAGGGGAGCGACUGAAGAAUGGAACCCACGCCUGCUCGGAGGAGUCCACGAUCCUCAAAGCCGCCAGCCUUCUAGAAGGCUGUCCUCUCAGGCCCGGGUCUCCCUCCCGCGGCCACAGAAACCAUCUGCCCUUUGCGGGACACCUGAGGCCCGGGGCGGAGCCUAGGGUUCCAGCUGGCAGCGGUAACACCUGCACUCCUGGACCUGAAACAGUGUGUCCAGAGGGAAGGAAACCCGCAGGCUGUGAAGAUCGCGCUGGACAUCUUGGGUCUUCCUCCCAAACGUAUCCCUCUGAUCUAACCUAAUCACACAGCUUACAAGAGGGCCAUCUGACAGCACACCUGACCAGUGUUUCUCAAAACUGCCAAGGUCGUCAAAACACAUGAAAGUCUGGGGAAACGUCACAGUCAAGAGGAGCCUAAGGAGACAAUGACAAUUAAAGACAAAUUCUAUUACAGCAGCUAAAUUGAGGAAAUGCAUCAAAUCAGUCAGCACAGACCAAUCAGUCUAUAUCUGAGCAAACCUGGGUAUAUUUCAACCAGUCCCACCCGUAUCUUUCACCUGGAUGGAUAUUCUCCAGUAUCUUUCAACCAAGCCCCAACCAGUAUCAGUCCACUGGGAUCAUCAACCAGCAUGAGAGAUCCCAGAACCAGAGGAGACUCACCUAAAUUUGUCUGGACCCUCCAAGAAGGUAGAUGGGUACAAGAGGCCUCUGCUGGUACCAAGGCUCCAGUUCUUAGAAGAGCACAAUGCGAGACUUGCAAGCCAAGUUUUAUUUGCAGCAAAAUAAAGACUAUAAGAGUUGACUCAUUGGAAAAGACUCUGAUGCUGGGAGAGAUUGGGGGCAGGAAGAAAAGGGGACGACAGAGGAUGAGAUGGCCGGAUGACAUCACCGACUCGAUGGACGUGGGUUUGAGUGAACUCCAGGAGAUUGUGAUGGACAGGGAGGCCUGGUCUGCUGCGAUUCAUGGGGUCGCAAAGAGUAGGACACGACUGAGCGACUGAACCGAACUGAACUCAACUGAAAAACUAUAACCCAGGAGCAGUUUCUCAGAGGUGUCUGAAGUGCUGUCUGUCCGGCUAUAGUCUUGACAUUUUACUCCAAAUAAAAGUUAACUUACAACUCUCACACCGUGCUUUUUUGUUCUUAAGUCGGCACUAUCAAACAAUUUUGAACAGUAAUGACUAACGUACUUUAAAAAGAGUUUGUGUAGCAUUUAGAAUCAGCACAGGUGCAUCGUAUUAGCAGUUUAUACGCACCCCUUUCCCCAUUCCUAUCAAGGAUGCUCAGCCCUCGGCUUUGCCACUGGAAGAAGUGGCUGUGGAAUGCUGUCUUAUUUACAUAUUUGAACCUUGAAUUCCAGAUUCAAAUCCCUAGUGGAAGAGUAGGGUGAUUUACUAAGGGGAGUUAGAUUCCCCCUCCCUGGCUCUCCUCAAAAAAGGUGCCACCAACGCUUUCCUGUCUGGUGGACAGGGAGACCUAUCUUAAUGUUUGUUAUCUCCCAGGAAGCAGUUAUUUAUGUGUCUCCAGGCCCACCUUUAGCUUCCCAGCCUGGCCCUGUGAGUACACAUGAGAGGCAACCACUUAAAAUUCACUCUCAAACCCCAAUAUUACCAGCCAGCAGCUUUUCAUUUGAAGCAGGUGAAGGGAUUGCUUCCUCUCUCCCACUAAGUAUGGCAGACU